rnacentral:pre_miRNA from 1 species
AGUGGGAUAGCUGGGUAGAAUGGUGGUUCCAUUUCCAGUUUUCUAAGGAAUCUCAAUACUGCUUUCCAUAUUGGCUGCACCAAUUUGCAGUCCCACCAGCAAU